AUUAAACGCUGGCGGCAUGCCUUACACAUGCAAGUCGAACGGUAGCGCGGGGCAACCUGGCGACGAGUGGCGAACGGGUGAGUAAAGCAUCGGAACGUGCCCUGGAAUGGGGGAUAACGUAGCGAAAGUUACGCUAAUACCGCAUAUUCUGUGAGCAGGAAAGCAGGGAAUCGCAAGACCUUGCGUUCUGGGAGCGGCCGAUGUCGGAUUAGCUAGUUGGUGGGGUAAAAGCCUACCAAGGCGACGAUCCGUAGCGGGUCUGAGAGGAUGAUCCGCCACACUGGGACUGAGACACGGCCCAGACUCCUACGGGAGGCAGCAGUGGGGAAUUUUGGACAAUGGGCGGAAGCCUGAUCCAGCCAUGCCGCGUGAGUGAAGAAGGCCUCGGUUGUAAGCUCUUCGUGGGAGAA
rnacentral:rRNA from 1 species